GAUGAACGCUAGCGAUAGGCUUAACACAUGCAAGUCGAGGGGCAGCACAAGGUAGCUUGCUAUCUGGGUGGCGACCGGCGCACGGGUGCGUAACGCGUAUGCAACUUGCCCUAUACAGGAGGAUAACCCGUCGAAAGACGGACUAAUACUGCGUAUGCUCACAACUUGGCAUCAAGUGGUGAGGAAAGAAAUUCGGUAUAGGAUAGGCAUGCGUCCCAUUAGCUUGUUGGUGAGGUAACGGCUCACCAAGGCAACGAUGGGCAGGGGAACUGAGAGGUUUAUCCCCCACACUGGGACUGAGACACGGACCAGACUCCUACGGGAGGCAGCAGUGAGGAAGAGUGGGCAAGGGGCGCGAGCCUGAACCAGCCAAGUCGCGUGAAGGAUGACUGUCUUAUGGAUGGUAAACUUCUUUUAGACGGGAAUAACAAGAGUCACGGGUGACUCCCUGCAGGUACCGUAUGAAUAAGCAGCGGCUAACUCCGUG
rnacentral:rRNA from 1 species